ensembl:lncRNA
UUUAUUCUCUCUAACAAUUUCCACCUUGGCAAGCUCCAGGUCACUAAAACAACAUCCAGAACAAUGAAUUAAAGAUACUGAAAAAGAUGAUACAGAAUGCAGCAUUCUCACAGAAAUGUAGAAACUCCCCACACUUCCAUGCAUUGGUAAACCUCAGGCCUCCAUAAGGCUGAGCACUUUGUGCCUCGCUCACACUUGCUGAUUUUCAGUGCUAAAUCGUGCUGAAAACAAACAGAUUGUCAGAUCCAGGAAUCUCUGCAGGGCACAGUCCAGCGAUGUGCUUCAGUUCAGGGAUAACUGAACAGGGCUGGAUAACGCACAGACGCUCUCUCUGUGCGCAACAGUUCCCCUGUUACCCUGACAGGGAACAUCAGCCAUUUGUUUCAACGCAUUACUGCUUUCUAUCCUUUUUAGAACCAACUAUGGAGUUAACUGUGAUAUUUUCCCUGAGUGGGCAAACAAAGGAGGGAAGCGCAGAGCCCACCAGCACUGCCUGCUCAGGAUGUGCACUACUGCAGGACUCUGCAGAGAGUCUCCUAAAGACUGUACUGAGGCGGUGUCUCAUACAGAGCCACAUCCUCCUUAUUCUCGUGCAGCAGCAGCUGCAGGGACCUGGGGGAGUAGGAGGGAGGGAGCAGAGCAGCCAGGCAGCGCUCACACAUCCUCACCUGCAGCAGUGGGCAGUGAGCCAGCCUGCCCUCUGGGGGAAGGGGGAAGCGGAGGCAGGUGAUACCUGCUCAGUGUGCGGAGGAUGGCUUUCUGGGGGUUGGCUUUCCUUUCUUUUUUUUCAGGAAGCGUUUAUCUUCUGACAGUUUUCUGUGUGUUUUUUUUUUUUUUUCUAAUUUACAAACAAAACCCCGCUGCAGAUCUCUGAUUUUUUAUUUUUUUUUAUUUUUUGCUAGAAGAACUGAUCCAGAAAACAGAGACUGAUGAGACCCCCUUGUCCCAUAUCCGCCGCUAAUUCCUAGGGCACAUUCCCCUGCCCUGCCACAUUUUCACGAGCAUUGUUUGCAAAGCGCUGUUCUCUCUGAUAACGCGUCUUAAGACAUCUGUCUGUAUCCCUGAAGUUUCCCUCUUGGAUUUUGCAUCCUGAUUCUCUUAAAAACACAUCCUCAUCUGCAGGCAGCUUCAGCUGCCCAUUAUUUUCAUUUCUGGAUCUCUUUUCAGUAACGUGCUCAUUUCUGUGCCUGUCUUCAUAGAGACGUAUCUCUGCGGAGCAGUGUACUCUGAAGGACAAAGCAAACAACUCCUGGAUCCCCUCCCAGGCUAACCGGAGGAGAGGGGCAGGAGAGGAGCUGUUUUGUAUUUGGGAGAAACCCUAAUUCUCAUGGGACUCUGGAUCCUAUGGCACUACAGACAUUUCUCAGAGGAGCCACCACAAAAAAGAAACACCCCAGAAAGCUCGGUGUAUCCGUACUGGGCACACAGUCACACCUGAUGCUCACACAACGCUGGGCAGCCAAGAGCCAAGGGCUCAAAUUCAGUGGUGCACAGGGCUGAGGUUGGCAGAGGCAGAGCAACAAGCACCUUUGGCCCAAUGUAUGGGAACUGUUGAAUCAGGGCCUGAACCUCUGAUUGACCACCUGAGGCAAGCACUGAAUCAGCAGCAGGAGCACAGGUGAAGGCAAUUCAGCUGUGUGGCUGGAAGGGGUGGAGCCAGGCUGCACCUCUCCUAGAUCCCAUUUAAGGGCUGACUGCCAUUGGGGAAGGAUCUCUUUCUGGAGAUUGCUUCUUGUGGAGUUUCUCGUGAGCCUGCAACACUGGUUUACCACCGUGGAGCUCUGGGAACCUCACAGGAAACACUUAAAAUAGGAUGUUAAACUGGUGUUUGUCUUCCGGUACCAGGACAUAAGCCAGGAGUGCACACUGGAGCUUGCUUAAAUGGCACGUGGCUGGCACCAACUGUUGAUUUUCUUUCUUGAUUGAUUGCUGCUGAUUCCUGCCCUGACCUUGAAUUUAAAGACACAGAAUUGUUAUUGCAAGUGUUUCAUCUCAGAAGACACCUGCCUUCUCAGGUUUAAAGAGACAAGACGGAGAACACGGAAGACAUCAACACCUUCCAGCAAUCCAAAUAAAUAAACAUCAUUUUUGAUGUCAGUCCUUUAAUGGCUGUCCUCCUCCUUGAAUAUUAAGAAUAUCAUCACAGAACCUAGAAAGCCAGCCAGAAGAGUUGUGAUUUUUACUAAAUGGUAUUAACAAAACCAAAGCUAAAAAAGCAUAAGAAAUGGAGAGUAAUGCUGCAUUUUGUAUAGAUCUUCUAUUGUGGCGCUGCACAUUUGGUUUCAUUAAACUGUCU